rnacentral:rRNA from 1 species
GAUGAACGCUGGCGGCGUGCCUAAUACAUGCAAGUCGAGCGAACAGACGAGGAGCUUGCUCCUCUGACGUUAGCGGCGGACGGGUGAGUAACACGUGGAUAACCUACCUAUAAGACUGGGAUAACUUCGGGAAACCGGAGCUAAUACCGGAUAAUAUAUUGAACCGCAUGGUUCAAUAGUGAAAGACGGUUUUGCUGUCACUUAUAGAUGGAUCCGCGCCGCAUUAGCUAGUUGGUAAGGUAACGGCUUACCAAGGCGACGAUGCGUAGCCGACCUGAGAGGGUGAACGGGCACACUGGAAAUGAGACACGGUCCCAGGUCCUACGGGAGGCAGCAGUAGGGAAUCUUCCGCAAUGGGCGAAAGCCUGACGGAGCAACGCCGCGUGAGUGAUGAAGGUCUUCGGAUCGUAAAACUCUGUUAUUAGGGAAGAACAAAUGUGUAAGUAACUAUGCACGUCUUGACGGUACCUAAUCAGAAAGCCACGGCUAACUACGUG